UUUGACUAAGGGGAUAAGGAAAAAUAACGUGAAAGUUGCAGUCCUUAUCAGAAGUAAUUGAUUAGAAUUCAGCAAUGAAUAUGACAAAUCGUACUUAUUUCAGAUGAUGCAGCCAACACGAACGGUUGUCAUGUGUAACACAACUUUCGAUCACCGCGAAAACACCGUCCUGGGAAAGCGUCCAUGCUUGAUAUCGUUUGGUUCAUGAACAUUAAGUUUCCAGUACAGGUAAAAUCCCAGAGGAAUCCAAAGCCCUCUCUUUAUUGGCUCCUGCUCCAACCAUGACAAGUCUGAUGCCUGGUGCAGGAUUGCUUCCAAUACCAACCCCAAAUCCUUUGACUACUCUUGGUGUUUCACUUAGCAGUUUGGGAGCUAUACCAGCAGCAGCACUAGACCCCAACAUUGCAACACUUGGAGAGAUACCACAGCCACCACUUAUGGGAAAUGUGGAUCCUUCCAAAAUAGAUGAAAUUAGGAGAACGGUUUAUGUUGGAAAUCUGAAUUCCCAGACAACGACAGCUGAUCAACUACUUGAAUUUUUUAAACAAGUUGGAGAAGUGAAGUUUGUGCGGAUGGCAGGUGAUGAGACUCAGCCAACUCGGUUUGCUUUUGUGGAAUUUGCAGACCAAAAUUCUGUACCAAGGGCCCUUGCUUUUAAUGGAGUUAUGUUUGGAGACAGGCCACUGAAAAUAAAUCACUCCAACAAUGCAAUAGUAAAACCCCCUGAGAUGACACCUCAGGCUGCAGCUAAGGAGUUAGAAGAAGUAAUGAAGCGAGUACGAGAAGCUCAGUCAUUUAUCUCAGCAGCUAUUGAACCAGAGUCUGGAAAGAGCAAUGAAAGAAAAGGCGGUCGAUCUCGUUCCCAUACUCGCUCAAAAUCCAGGUCUAGCUCAAAAUCCCAUUCUAGAAGGAAAAGAUCACAAUCAAAACACAGGAGUAGAUCCCAUAAUAGAUCACGUUCAAGACAGAAAGACAGACGUAGAUCUAAGAGCCCACAUAAAAAACGCUCUAAAUCAAGGGAGAGACGGAAGUCAAGGAGUCGUUCGCGUUCACGGGACAAGAGAAAAGACACUCGAGAAAAGAUCAAGGAAAAGGAAAGAGUGAAAGAGAAAGACAGGGAAAAGGAGAGAGAGAGGGAAAAGGAACGUGAAAAAGAAAAGGAACGGGGUAAAAACAAAGAUAAAGACCGGGACAAGGAACGGGAAAAGGACCGGGAAAAAGACAAGGAAAAGGACAGAGAGAGAGAACGGGAAAAAGAGCAUGAAAAGGAUCGAGACAAAGAGAAGGAAAAGGAACAGGACAAAGAAAAGGAACGAGAAAAAGACAGAUCCAAAGAGAUAGACGAAAAAAGAAAGAAGGAUAAAAAAUCCAGAACACCACCCAGGAGUUACAAUGCAUCGCGAAGAUCUCGUAGUUCCAGCAGGGAAAGGCGUAGGAGGAGGAGCAGGAGUUCUUCCAGAUCGCCAAGAACAUCAAAAACCAUAAAAAGGAAAUCUUCUAGAUCUCCGUCCCCCAGGAGCAGAAAUAAGAAGGAUAAAAAGAGAGAAAAAGAAAGGGACCACAUCAGUGAAAGAAGAGAGAGAGAACGUUCAACGUCUAUGAGAAAGAGUUCUAAUGAUAGAGAUGGGAAGGAGAAGUUGGAGAAGAACAGUACUUCACUUAAAGAGAAAGAGCACAAUAAAGAACCAGAUUCAAGUGUGAGCAAAGAAGUAGAUGACAAGGAUGCACCAAGGACUGAGGAAAACAAAGUACAGCACAAUGGGAAUUGUCAGCUGAAUGAAGAAAACCUCUCUACCAAAACAGAAGCAGUAUAGGACCGACAAGUGUACCUCUGCACUCAAUGCUGGAAUCAAAUCCAAAGCUUUUAAUUCUCUCAACAAGAUGUAAACAGGAAGGAAAUCUAGUUGAGCAUGAAGAUAGGAUCUAACAGCUAUUCCAGUUGUUAGAUGACUUUGUGGCCAUCUUGUUAUUGAGUAAGAAAAUAAAGCAUGGACAUCAUGAAAAUAACAGAUGUUACCCAAACUCAUCUUCUAAAAUCUGUGCAUUUCCAUGGUGGCUGACACACUUGUCAUGUGGUCUGUUAGUGUUUGCCAAGAACCAUUGCAAAUAAAUUGAACAUCAAAGAUCCAAGUUUGUACUAUCCCUAAAGACUGGAGAUAAGCAUUGGAGGCUCUUUUAAAAAAUGCUAGUUACUGAAUUUUGUAUUGUUUUACUUUUUUUUUAAUUUCAAUAUAUACAGUUUGAUGAUGUGCUUGAAAUUGGUGCAAAUAUAUACACACCCUUGUAAGUGCAAAGUAUGUAAGAAGUUUUAACAUUUACUUCACAGGACUUAUGGUGAUUGUGUUAAAUUCUCACUAUUGUGUUUUCUUUUGCUCACUGUUUAGGACAACUUUUCUUUAAAAUAGUUUUGCAGAUUAAAAUUGCUUAAAUAAGUGGAUUAAAAAACUGACAAUGCAUGCUACUGUUCUCUUUCAAAAGGAAGAGCAACUGUGUUGAAUACUAAUAAUGAUGAAUUAGUAUUCAUUGUUUAGAAUCAUUGGGUCUACCCACAAAGUGAGCAUUUCUUUUUAAAUUUUCUUGACAUUUCCAAGCUUAUUACGAAUAAUAUUGCAGUGUGUCUUGUCAGCUGUAGGUGGCAAAGGUGCCCUUAUAAAAAAGGAAACUGGCUUUUCAAAAUGGGCUAUGGGAGCACAAGCUGAAGCUUUAGUGCCUUCUACAAUGUGGUAUACUGUUUUCUAGAAUUUUAUAUGUGCUAGUCAUUCUCAAUUCAUAUGGAAUCUAGAUGGAUAUUUCAUUUAUACCCAUAGAGAAGUGUGUAAGUGGUAUGUCAGAAGAGCUUCUUACUGAUUUCAUCUAAAAUAAGAAGGAAGUCCUGUUUUCAAGAAUGACAUUAGAGUCAUGCAGCUUUGGGACCAUCAGUUUUAUACUGUGAUAAUUGAAAAUGAAACAUGUUCUUAUUUUCCUUAAAUCGAAGAAAACCCUUUAGUUGUCUACAUUGGAUGGCCUUAUUACCUCUCAAUCAUCUUUUCAUAAAUGAUGUGCAGAAAUUGUACUUAAGGACUUAGGAAUAUAUGGGAGGUUAUUGGUUUUAUGUUUAAGGAUACGUUUACUUGAGUUUAAGAUACAGGUCAUCCAUCAUUCUUAGGCUCACUUUUUACAGAAAGUAUGCAAAUAGUAAAGUGACAACACUGCUAAUGUUUUUCCCCAGUACUAUAACUUGUGGUUUCUGAACUCAUUGUUGUUGUAUUUCCAAAAAAGUAAUACCUUUUAAUUAGUGUAUUAAAAAAUUAAGUAUAAUUAUUUUAAUGCAAUCUAAUACAAUCAGAUUACUGAGUUGCCUUACCUCAUGGGAAGAGUUACUUUUUUAGAUCUAAAAAGCUGAAUAGUAUGUUAGUUACUUGGUUUCAACUUGAGUUUUCUUUUAAUGUUAAUAAGAUUGAAACUUUAGUAUUUAGUGGGGAAUGGAAAGAGUUGCCCUUGUUGCAAGUAAUGAAGCCUGAUUUGAUUAUGAAGCUGCUUAAUCACUCUUCAUGUGUUCAGAAUUACUGUUUUUUUGUUUGUUUGUUUUUCCUUUUUGUCACUGUGUACAUUAAAAUUUUGGAAGAUGCUUUACUAUGUAAAGUAUAGAUGGUCAUUUUAAUCAUUCAGCCACAUACGGUUGGCUGGUAAACAGCUUAUUCUGAUACAAGAAUGCUUGGGUGCAUAUGGAAAGAUUGUGAAAGAGUGUGUCUUGCAUCAACAGCUGUCUUAUUUAUGAUAUAUAA
rnacentral:sRNA from 1 species